CAGGCCCUAUGUGACCAUGUGGAAAUGCGCAAAUGAAACAAUGAAGGACAUCUCUGAUUCAUCAGGCAGGUUGGUGUCCAGAGGCUUCCUCUGACUUCCUGUGGCAUUUCCCUCCUGAAAGUGAGGCCACCAUCCACACAAGAUCUGCCUGAGCCCACCUGUAGGACCCUCCCUGACUCUCCUUCCCUCCAUGGUCUCCACACUUGCUAUCAUCACCCCAUCAUUAGAAUCCUGUUGCCCCCUGGUGUGUGGCUUGUUCUUGCAAUAAAAGUUGUUAGCAGGG